UGUCAGCAUUUUAAUUCAGAGGUGGAUUCCAGUGGGUGGAGGAGGGCCAUUAUACACAUUUUUUUUCUUUCAGAUUUAUUGUCAGCAUUUUAAUUCAGAGGUGGAUUCCAGUGGGUGGAGGAGGGCCAUUAUACACAUUUUUCUCUUUCAGAUUUAUUGUCAGCAUUUUAAUUCAGAGGUGGAUUCCAGUGGGUGGAGGAGGGCCAUUAUACACAUUUUUUUUCUUUCAGAUUUAUUGUCAGCAUUUUAAUUCAGAGUUGGAUUCCAGUGGGUGGAGGAGGGCCAUUAUACACAUUUUUUUCUUUCAGGU